rnacentral:lncRNA from 10 species
GUUUGAACGGCGAAGAUGUCCAAGUCCAUGCUAACAGAAAGGAGCAGAUCUCAGGAACCUGAAGAAACUGGCACACAAUAGAAUCUAUAAAAGUUCAGAAAUGGAGGUCAUAUAUGUCAAAGAUGGCAUCUACUGGUGAUAUUUAAAAUUACUACCAAAGUAAAUGAAAUUCAAAGAAGUUUCUAUUUUAUGACAACUGAAAGUAAGUGUGGAAACAAGAAGUCCUCCAAAAAAAUCAGAGAUAAUUAUGACAUAAGGAGACUUUGGUCAGAAUGAAAGUAA